GAAAGAGAGGGCUCCAAGCAGUUCCGACUGAAGCCAUCCAAGCUGAAAAAGACGUGGGUGGCCGUACCCCUCAAAGAAAAUGCUACCUAUGAUUAUGCGGCAACACUGAUUGCAGAGGUUCUGACUCGCAUUCAAGAACACCAAACGCAGUCAGCAGCUGCAGAAACUCGGCCAGCUCGUUCAGCAACAUAUGGCGAGAAGCCAACUCUUAGGCAAGCUGUGGAACAACACCAAACACGGUUCCAGAAGGGAAAGUAGGCCAUGUCCACACCGGCUGAGGACCACGGACAGCUGGCCAUCUUGACAUAUGACAUCACAAACGGCCCUUUUCAUGGCCAACCAAUGCUUUACGCAAAGACAAGCGUUGCUUGUAGAUCAACCCACCUCAUAUGACAUUGCAUAUUAAUUCUCAAACCCAUUUUGAUAACUGCAUAACUAAAAUCAUUAAAGGGACUAUCGCAUCCAUGUGUGUACGUUAGUCGUCGCUUAACAGUUAACUUGGCCAAAAUUCACUUCCAUAAACAGCUGAAGACAAAUUUGUCACUCUCAGCAGCUAUCAGCCUUGUGUGUGUGACGUUUGCUCCAAUUUUCAGAGAAGGAAUUUUGAAAUACUCUAAUAUCCGUCAUCCGCUCUUGCCCACAUGAUUGUCAGUGAGCAACGUAGAAAAAAAUGUCACAGCAGUGGCACAAUCAAUUGGGACGGAUGCGGCAGCCCCUUUCAGCAGUACCGGUUGUACGAAAAGAAGUCUUAUGGAUAUGCUGAAUUGCAAA